rnacentral:rRNA from 1 species
GACAGAGGGUGCGAACGUUGUUCGGAAUUACUGGGCGUAAAGCGCAUGUAGGCGGCAGCGCAAGUCGGGCGUGAAAUCCCACGGCUCAACCGUGGAAGUGCACCCGAAACUGCGUAGCUAGAGUCCUGGAGAGGAAGGUGGAAUGCUUGGUGUAGAGGUGAAAUUCGUAGAUAUCAAGCGGAACACCGGUGGCGAAGGCGGCCUUCUGGACAGUGACUGACGCUGAGACGCGAAAGCGUGGGGAGCAAACAGGG